UAUGAACGCUGGCGGCGUGCCUAAUACAUGCAAGUCGAGCGAACAGACGAGGAGCUUGCUCCUUUGACGUUAGCGGCGGACGGGUGAGUAACACGUAGGUAACCUACCUAUAAGACUGGGAUAACUUCGGGAAACCGGAGCUAAUACCGGAUAAUAUUUCGAACCGCAUGGUUCGAUAGUGAAAGAUGGCUUUGCUAUCACUUAUAGAUGGACCUGCGCCGUAUUAGCUAGUUGGUAAGGUAACGGCUUACCAAGGCAACGAUACGUAGCCGACCUGAGAGGGUGAUCGGCCACACUGGAACUGAGACACGGUCCAGACUCCUACGGGAGGCAGCAGUAGGGAAUCUUCCGAAAUGGGCGAAAGCCUGACGGAGCAACGCCGCGUGAGUGAUGAAGGUCUUCGGAUCGUAAAACUCUGUUAUUAGGGAAGAACAAACGUGUAAGUAACUGUGCACGUCUUGACGGUACCUAAUCAGAAAGCCACGGCUAACUACGU
rnacentral:rRNA from 1 species